rnacentral:lncRNA from 1 species
UUGCCUAGGGCCCCAAUAAAUCUUAAUCCGCUAAUGUCUCUUAGGUCUAGGGGGGACCAGGGAGGCUGGGCUGUGCCCUCUGACCUGCCCUGUCUCCACAGCUGCCCCCCAGCUCUGGCCCCGGGAGGCACCAAGGGCACAGGCUACUCCACAGUUGUGCUGGGGGCACAGCUCAGUGACAUCUACAAGCUCCCGGCACUGUGUGGGGCCCUGGUCCAUGUCUCACAGCACCAUCACAACCUGGUGACCGUGGUUCGGCUGCUCCCAGAUACCACGGCCAGGGGCAGGUAGGUAGGUGCCUGUGUGAUACAGGGGGCUGCUCCUUCCACAGUUGCAAACUGCUAGAAAUAGUGUUAUGCUAACAGCACAACGUGUGGCCAUGCUCAUGCGCAGGUAACGUGCUAGUAUGGGGUUCGUACUGACACGCCAGCGUCAUGCUGAUUUCAUGCCCACAGAUUUGAACCCGCAGCUUCCUUCCUUCCGCCGCUGGGCAGGAUGUGGUUGGGGGGGGAACAUCCUUAGGCUGUGGCUGGGAGUUCAAGUCCCAGGGAAGGAAGCCCAGUACUGAUACAGCCCUGGCUUCCUCUCAGGCUUCCGCCCCUGCCCCCGCCACUACCACUGCCCCCCAGCUAGGCUGCCUCUGCCUCAUGGGGGGAUGGAGAGCAGGGUAGGGCCCUGGGUUGUUGGGUAAGUGUGGUCAGGGCUUGGGGGAUUUUGGGUAACUGGGCUGGUAGCAUUGACCCUGGGGGAUUACAGAGUAGGGUUGGCUACCCCAAGGGCCUUGGGGUAAUGCAUAGCAGGGCAGAGCCCCAGGGGAUUGUGGAUAAGAGCGGGGCCAGGCCUGAGGGAUUCUGCCUGGGUUAGAGCAGGAUUGAGCCCAGGGGUCCUGGGUGAGAGCAGGGCCAGGCCUGGGGGGGAUUGUGGGUAAGAGCAGAGCUGGACCUGGGGCUUCUGAGUAAGCAGAGCUGAGAUCAGGGAAUUGUGAGUAAGAGUGAGACUGAGCCCAGACAUGCUGAGGCGUGGGGCCCAGCCC